rnacentral:rRNA from 1 species
AACGAACGCUGGCGGCGUGCCUAACACAUGCAAGUCGUGCGAGAAAGUUCCUUCGGGAGCGGGUAAAGCGGCGCACGGGUGAGUAACACGUAGGUAACCUGCCCCCCAGUCUGGAACAACUAGAGGAAACUCUAGCUAAUGCCGGAUGAGACCACGAUCCCUUCGGGGGUUGCGGCCAAAGAUGGCCUCUACUUGUAAGCUAUCGCUGAGGGAUGGGCCUGCGGGCCAUUAGCUUGUUGGUGAGGUAACGGCUCACCAAGGCUGUGAUGGCUAGCUGGUCUGAGAGGAUGACCAGCCACACUGGGAGUGAGACACGGCCCAGACUCCUACGGGAGGCAGCAGUGGGGAAUAUUGCGCAAUGGGCGAAAGCCUGACGCAGCGACGCCGCGUGGGUGAUGAAGGCCU